rnacentral:rRNA from 1 species
UACAGAGGGUGCGAGCGUUAAUCGGAAUUACUGGGCGUAAAGCGUGCGUAGACGGUUACGUAAGUCGGGUGUGAAAGCCCCGGGCUCAACCUGGGAAUUGCAUUCGAGACUGCGUAGCUAGGGUGCGGAAGAGGGAAGCGGAAUUUCCGGUGUAGCGGUGAAAUGCGUAGAUAUCGGAAGGAACAUCAGUGGCGAAAAGCGGCUUCCUGGUCCAGGC